rnacentral:rRNA from 1 species
GGACUACUGGGGUAUCUAAUCCUGUUCGCUCCCCUAGCUUUCGCGCCUCAGCGUCAGUUGCCAGCCAGGACACUGCCUUCGCCUUUGGUCUUCCUCCGGAUAUCUACGCAUUUCACCACUCCACCCGGAAUUCGAUGUCCCUCUCUGGCCCUCAAGUCCCGCCGUCUUUGCCAAGCCUUGCGAAGUUAAGCCUCGCACUGUCACAGCAAACUGACCGGACCGCCUACACGCCCUUUACGCCCAGUAACUCCGGACAACGCUCGCCCCCUACGUAUUACCGCGGCUGCUGGCAC